rnacentral:rRNA from 1 species
GUGAGGAAUAUUGGUCAAUGGGCGGGAGCCUGAACCAGCCAAGUCGCGUGAAGGAAGAAGGAUCUAUGGUUCGUAAACUUCUUUUGCAGGGGAAUAAAGUGCAGGACGUGUCCUGUUUUGUAUGUACCCUGAGAAUAAGGAUCGGCUAACUCCGUGCCAGCAGCCGCGGUAAUACGGAGGAUCCGAGCGUUAUCCGGAUUUAUUGGGUUUAAAGGGUGCGUAGGUGGUUUGAUAAGUCAGCGGUGAAAUUUUGCAGCUUAACUGUAAAAAUGCCGUUGAAACUGUCGGACUUGAGUGUAAAUGAGGUAGGCGGAAUGCGUGGUGUAGCGGUGAAAUGCAUAGAUAUCACGCAGAACUCCGAUUGCGAAUGCAGCUUACUAAGCUACAACUGACACUGAAGCACGAAAGCGUGGGGAUCAAACAGGAUUAGAUACCCUUGUAGUCC